UACAGAGGUCCCAAGCGUUGUUCGGAUUCAUUGGGCGUAAAGGGUGUGUAGGUGGCGCCGUAAGUCGGGUGUGAAAUCUCGGGGCCUAACUCCGAAACUGCAUUCGAUACUGCGGUGCUUGAGGACUGGAGAGGAGACUGGAAUUCAUGGUGUAGCAGUGAAAUGCGCAGAGAUCAUGAGGAAGACCAGUGGCGAAGGCGGGUCUCUGGACAGUUCCUGACACUGAGACACGAAGGCCAGGGGAGCAAACGGG
rnacentral:rRNA from 1 species